AGUGAACGCUGGCGGUAGGCCUAACACAUGCAAGUCGAACGGCAGCACAGUAAGAGCUUGCUCUUACGGGUGGCGAGUGGCGGACGGGUGAGGAAUACAUCGGAAUCUACUUUUUCGUGGGGGAUAACGUAGGGAAGCUUACGCUAAUACCGCAUACGACCUACGGGUGAAAGCAGGGGAUCUUCGGACCUUGCGCGAUUGAAUGAGCCGAUGUCGGAUUAGCUAGUUGGCGGGGUAAAGGCCCACCAAGGCGACGAUCCGUAGCUGGUCUGAGAGGAUGAUCAGCCACACUGGAACUGAGACACGGUCCAGACGCCUACGGGAGGCAGCAGUGGGGAAUAUUGGACAAUGGGCGCAAGCCUGAUCCAGCCAUACCGCGUGGGUGAAGAAGGCCUUCGGGUUGUAAAGCCCUUUUGUUGGGAAAGAAAAGCAGCAGGUUAAUACCCCGCUGUUCUGACGGUACCCAAAGAAUAAGCACCGGCUAACUUCGUG
rnacentral:rRNA from 1 species